UACGGAGGGUGCAAGCGUUAAUCGGAAUUACUGGGCGUAAAGCGUGCGCAGGCGGUCUGUUAAGUCUGCUGUGAAAUCCCCGAGCUCAACUUGGGAAUUGCAGUGGAUACUGGCAGGCUGGAGUACGGUAGAGGAAGGUGGAAUUCCCGGUGUAGCAGUGAAAUGCGUAGAGAUCGGGAGGAACACCAGUGGCGAAGGCGGCCUUCUGGACCAGUACUGACGCUCAUGCACGAAAGCGUGGGGAGCAAACAGG
rnacentral:rRNA from 1 species